rnacentral:rRNA from 1 species
UACGUAGGGGGCAAGCGUUGUCCGGAAUCAUUGGGCGUAAAGAGCGCGCAGGCGGUCGUUCAAGUCGCGUGUGAAAGCCCCCGGCUCAACUGGGGAGGGUCACGCGAUACUGAUCGACUCGAAGGCAGGAGAGGGUAGUGGAAUUCCCGGUGUAGUGGUGAAAUGCGUAGAUAUCGGGAGGAACACCAGUGGCGAAGGCGGGUCUCUGGGCCGAUACUGACGCUGAGGAGCGAAAGCGUGGGGAGCGAACAGGAU